rnacentral:rRNA from 1 species
UACGUAGGGUGCGAGCGUUAAUCGGAAUUACUGGGCGUAAAGCGUGCGCAGGCGGCGCGUUAAGACAGGUGUGAAAGCCCCGAGCUUAACUUGGGAAUUGCGCUUGUGACUGGCGAGCUGGAGUGUGGCAGAGGGAGGUGGAAUUCCACGUGUAGCAGUGAAAUGCGUAGAGAUGUGGAGGAACGCCGAUGGCGAAGGCAGCCUCCUGGGCCAGCACUGACGCUCAUGCACGAAAGCGUGGGGAGCAAACAGG